rnacentral:rRNA from 1 species
CGAGGGGCAGCGGGGGAGUGGCAACACUUCCCCCUGCGACCGGCGCACGGGUGAGUAACACGUAUGAAACCUGCCCGCAGCAGGGGGAUAAGCGGAAGAAAUUCCGUCUAAUACCGCGUAACAACCCACAGGGGCAUCCCUGGUGGUUCAAAGGAUCGAUCCGGCUGCGGAUGGUCAUGCGGCGCAUUAGCUAGUUGGCGGGGCAACGGCCCACCAAGGCGACGAUGCGUAGGGGUUCUGAGAGGAAGGUCCCCCACACUGGUACUGAGACACGGACCAGACUCCUACGGGAGGCAGCAGUGAGGAAUAUUGGUCAAUGGGCGAGAGGCUGAACCAGCCAAGUCGCGUGAGGGAUGACGGCCCUAUGGGUUGUAAACCUCUUUUGCCGGGGAGCUAUAAACGCGACGCGUGGCGUCCCGAGAGUACCCGGAGAAAAAGCAUCGGCUAACUCCAUGCCAGCAGCCGCGGUAAUACGGAGGAUGCGAGCGUUAUCCGGAUUUAUUGGGUUUAAAGGGUGCGUAGGCGGGCUUUUAAGUCAGCGGUAAAAAUUCGGGGCUCAACCCCGUCCGGCCGUUGAAACUGGGGGCCUUGAGUGGGCGAGAAGAAGGCGGAAUGCGUGGUGUAGC